CGACGGGAGUAGCAAUACAACUGGUGGCGACCGGCGCACGGGUGAGUAACGCGUAUGCAACCUACCUAUCAGAGGGGAAUAACCCGGCGAAAGUCGGACUAAUACCGCAUAAAACAGGGGCACCGCAUGGUGAUAUUUGUUAAAGAAAUUCGCUGAUAGAUGGGCAUGCGUUCCAUUAGGUAGUUGGUGAGGUAACGGCUCACCAAGCCGACGAUGGAUAGGGGAACUGAGAGGUUGGUCCCCCACACUGGUACUGAGACACGGACCAGACUCCUACGGGAGGCAGCAGUGAGGAAUAUUGGUCAAUGGGCGAGAGCCUGAACCAGCCAAGUCGCGUGAAGGAAGAAGGAUCUAUGGUUCGUAAACUUCUUUUGCAGGGGAAUAAAGUGCGGGACGUGUCCUGUUUUGUAUGUACCCUGAGAAUAAGGAUCGGCUAACUCCGUGCCAGCCGCUGC
rnacentral:rRNA from 1 species